AGGUAUCGCCUUCUUGAGGAUGAGUUCAGCAAUCCUUCCCUUCCGCAGUUGCAGAAGUAUUUAACUGAUGAGGAUUACAGGUGACCUUGAGUUUAUCGUGUGCAAUUUCACAUUUCAGAUAGCACAUGUAGUGCAAUGUAUAUUUCGUAACUUGAAGGUUUGAGGUUGAUAUGCAAAGAGGAAAAAUUCAUGGUUUUCAAUUAGGUUAGAUGUAAUGGGGUUUAUUCGUUUUGAUUUUUUUUUAUUCCUUAUAUUUGCUCAUUGGGCUUCAAAUGAUUUUCAAUUGUGAAUGAAACCUUUUAUUUUAUCAUUAUUUUUUUUGGGAUCUCCUCUUCAACAUGUUUUUCGAGAAAUGAUGAUCAAUUAUCAGUUUAUGGCCUUUUUAUGCAUGAAUCUGUUUUUAAUAUUUGAUGAACAGUUUGAUGCACAACUAAAUUUUCAUGUUCCCAUACAUUCGCAUUUCCCGUCCCUCCAUUACGGUGCAACUCAAUCCCAAAAUGUAGUAGAAGACUUGUGUUGGGAAAUUUGGAAAUCCAGCAAUCAUAAAUGAGGAUCAGCACAAUCAGUUUUCCCUGCUCUUUUAGGGAUGGAACAUUUAUUUUGCAGAUUCCUGUAGGUGUAUUCUGUUUAUUAGAUUAAAUGUGUAGUUUGGAUUACUUAUUGCUUUCUACUUCCACCCACCGCCACCCUCACCUCAAAACCCCACACCCCCCUCCCCCCUAUCUCCCUUUUCCUCUCUUCUCUCCUCAAUUAUAUAAUGUGUGGUUCUUCUUAGUGUAAUGACUUCUUUUAGAAGUUGAAUCCUAAGCAACUAUCUUAAGUAGAGAAAUUGUAUGUUUUGCCUUCGUUUCUUCUUCUUUUUGAAGA
rnacentral:misc_RNA from 1 species